rnacentral:lncRNA from 1 species
AAUAAAUAUUAUACAAAUCUACAACAAUUUUAAAACAAUCCACUAUUCAUAUUAAAUGAAUACAUCACUAUAAAAUGUCGAAUAACAAUACAAAUUUUCUGAAUAAAAACAAAUGAUAUACAAAUCCAACACUCUAUCUUAAUUCUAUCGAGGCAUGUUUUUUUUUUUCUCUCGUAAUGCUCUUCGUCCAAAAGAAACACCAAUUAUUGCUUGGUGACCUCAGUGAUGUAUGCUUUCUCCCAUGCUUCCUUAAUCAGCUCCACCAUUGUAGUGGGAGAUUCAAAUCUGAAAAUACAAGACCACCAAAUACUUUAUAAACUAUACUGAAUAACCUUUAUAAGUAUCCUGAAGUCAAGUUCAAUAAACCAAUUAUUACCGAAUAAGUUAUAAAAAUAGAUUAACAUUAUUAAAAUUCUACUAAAUAAUUGUUAUUUUCUCUAUAUUAAUCAAAACGGUCUAUUUUAACUGAAUAAAUCUAAAAGAAUUUUGAACAACUAUGAAACGAUACUGAACAACUAAUUAAAUCUAUUCAAUAUCAAUUAAUAUAUUAUGAAUAACAUCACAGACUAACUGAAAAUGUAUACAAAGUUACAGAACAACACUCACAACCUUUAUGCAUCUAUCUCUGCAAAUUUCAAUAGAACAAAAUUUAUAAAUGCAUCGAAUUUCCAUUAAUGAUUCAGAAACUAACUGAAGAUCAUACAAAUAUCCAAAAUAACGUUUACAAACACUUUCUAACUGAAUUAAAAAUAUAAUAUUCUGAAUAAGCUAAUAUUGUAUUUGAAUAAGUUUUUAUUUUUCACCAAAUAACAUAUAAAUUGAACAAUCAUUAUUCAGUCAUUAAUGGAUUCUAAAAAUUCUUGAAUAUGUAUUUCAUAAUCUUAUUAACCAAUAAUUCCCAUUGAGAGGGGCGAGAUUUGCAGCGAUUUUUCUAAAAGAGUCAAUCGUAUUCUGCAAAAAAAUGAGAAAGAAACCCUUACCUAUUGUGCGCCGCUGCCGAGAAGUUAGGCGGUGAAUGAAAAGGAAAAUUAGGGAUAAUUGUUUACUCUUAUGUAGAAAAGUGAUGGAAGAUUUGUCAACCGCCGGAGAAAAUCGAUUGAAGGAGAUGAACGAGUAGUGAUGAUAAAUGGUUGAAAAGUAGGGUUAAUGUUGGUGGGUAACUCCUUAAUUAAUGGAGUAAAUUUUGG